rnacentral:misc_RNA from 1 species
GAUGAAGAACGCAGCGAAAUGCGAUAAGUAAUGUGAAUUGCAGAAUUCAGUGAAUCAUCGAAUCUUUGAACGCACAUUGCGCCCUCUGGUAUUCCGGGGGGCAUGCCUGUUCGAGCGUCAUUUCAACCAUCAAGCCCCAGGCUUGUGUUGGGGACCUGCGGCUGCCGCAGGCCCUGAAAACCAGUGGCGGGCUCGCUGUCACACCGGGCGUAGUAGAUUUUAUCUCGCUCAGGGCGUGCUGCGGGUUCCGGCCGUUAAAAAGCCUUUUUUACCCAAGGUUGACCUCGGAUCAGGUAGGAAGACCCGCUGAACUUAAGCAUAUCAAUAAGCGGAGGA